rnacentral:rRNA from 1 species
AGACGUCUACAUUAGAUACCCGGGUAGUCCCAGCCGUAAACUAUGCGCGUUAGGUGUAUCGGUGACCACGAGUCACCGAGGUGCCGAAGGGAAACCGUGAAACGUGCCGCCUGGGAAGUACGGUCGCAAGGCUGAAACUUAAAGGAAUUGGCGGGGAGCACCACAACGGGUGGAGCCUGCGGUUUAAUUGGACUCAACGCCGGGAAGCUCACCGGAUAAGACAGCGGAAUGAUUGCCGGGCUGAAGGCUCUGCAUGACUAGCUG